ACUUUUUUUUUUUUUUUAUCCUUUUUCUCUACUUCAGGGCUAGUUGUCAUGUUUGGACUUAGAGAAUUUUGAUGACCUCAGGAAUAGAUACUGUAAAUUAUUUUACCUGGUAAAAGUUGCUCAACGUGUUGUACUUGCGUUUGUCGAUAAGCAUACUGUAAAUUUUUUUACCAUGUAAAAAUGCACAAAUUAUACUAUAAAUUUUUUUACCAUGUAAAAAAAAUUUGUUGACUUCAGGGCUAGUUUUUAGUAGAGAUGUUGCAGCCAAGGACCAUAUUUUUGUGUUACACUUUCAGCUUCUCAGCUAUAACACCUUCAA
rnacentral:misc_RNA from 1 species